rnacentral:rRNA from 1 species
UACGUAGGGGGCAAGCGUUAUCCGGAAUCAUUGGGCGUAAAGCGCGUGUAGGCGGUUCCGGUAAGUCCGCUCUGAAAGCCCAGGGCUCAACCCUGGGAGGCGGGUGGAUACUACGGAACUGGAGUACGGAAGAGGGAGAUUGGAAUUCCUGGUGUAGCGGUGAAAUGCGCAGAUAUCAGGAGGAACACCGGUGGCGAAGGCGGGUCUCUGGGCCGAUACUGACGCUGAGGAGCGAAAGCGUGGGGAGCGAACAGG